rnacentral:misc_RNA from 1 species
GAUGAAGAACGCAGCAAAAUGCGAUACUUGGUGUGAAUUGCAGAAUCCCGUGAACCAUCGAGUUUUUGAACGCAAGUUGCGCCCGAAGCCAUUAGGCCGAGGGCACGCCUGCCUGGGCGUCACACGUCGUUGCCCCCCCAUCUACUCCUUCGGGAUUGCGGGGGGCGGAUGAUGGCCUCUCGUGCGCCUCGUCGCGCGGUUGGCCUAAAUGCCAAGUCCUCGGCGACGCACGCCACGACAAUCGGUGGUUGCGAAACCUCGGUUGCCUGUCGUGUGCGGUCGUCGCGCAUCGAGGGCUCGAAAAAAUUGCCGGGCUUCGGCUCGACUUUCAACGCGACCCCAGGUCAGGCGGGGUUACCCGCUGAAUUUAAGCAUAUCAAUAAGCGGAGGA